rnacentral:tRNA from 1 species
AAAGAUAUAUUUAUUAUAAAUUGAACUUCUAAUUCAACCUUUAAUGAAUAAAAAUUCAUUAUAUAUCUA